rnacentral:rRNA from 1 species
AUUGAACUCUGGCGGCUGGCCUAACACAUGCAAGUAGAACGAGUGGCGGACGGGUGAGUCAUGUGUGGGACACUGCCUGAUGGAGGGGGAUAACUACUGGACACGUUAGCUAAUACCGCAUACCAUCAGAUGUGCGCAGAUGGGUUUAGGUAGUUGGUGGGGUAAAGGAUCACCAAGGCGACGAUCCCUAGCUGGCCGGAGAGGAUGACCAGUCACACUGGAACCUAGACAGGGCCCAGACUCCUACGGGAGGCAGCAGUUGGGAAUAGUGCACAAUGGGCGAAAGACUUAUGCAGCCAUGCCGCGUGUAUGAAGAAGGGCUUCGGGUUGUAAAGUACUUUCAGCGGAGAGGCGUUACCCGCACAAGAAGCACCGGCUAACUUCGUGCCAGCAGCCGCGGUAAUAC